rnacentral:tRNA from 1 species
UGAUCGACUGGGGCGGCGCCCAGCGCUGGCUCAAAUCCGACGCCGAAGCGACGUUCAUUCGCCAGGUGGUCGA